rnacentral:tRNA from 1 species
GCCGAAGUGGCGGAAUCGGCAGACGCGACGGUCUCAAACACCGUUCCACGCAAGUGGGUGAGGGUUCGAUCCCCUCCUUCGGCACCA